GGUUUGGGGGAUGCUGAUGAUCUUGAAGAUGCUUCAGACUGGGACUCUGCCAGCACCACCAGUAAGGCCAGUAAGAAAUUCCCAGUUCAUAAGCUGGAUGAGGAACCCGUCUUUGAAAGCCCAGCAGCUUCCGCACUACCCAUAACAUCCGAGGAACAGGACGUGGACACCAGAGAACAUAAAGAAGCCAGUCCAGAGAGAAACAAACCCACAACCUCAAGCACAACACCUCUACCUAGUCCACGAUCUCUCAACCCAAACGCCAGCUCAAAACCACAACCACUGCCACUGCCACGACUGCGCUUGGACUCCAAUCAGAGGCCGGAGAGUGAAGGUAGAACUCAGAAACUACAAAUCUUAGAUUUAUUCUCUUAGCUUUUGAGGUGAUUUCAAUAAAUAUAUAUGCUGAUACAAAAUUUAUUUAAAUACAGAAUCGGACUGGGAUUUGGAAACUUCCAGUCCAGCCAAGAUGACAAAUUCACUGCCAAACGUCGCUGAGCCUGAUGCAGUUCAUCGGCAGGAACCCAAAGCUGAAGAUGUCGAGAGUGAAGACAGUUCUUACGCAAGUGAAGAUGCAGAUCAGGGUAAUAAGGAACAGUUGGAUGGUAUGAGGGGAGAACAGCAGCCCAGUGCUUUAUGGGAUACUAGAGGAACCAGAGAAGGAGGUGAACUUGACCAAGGAGAAGGGAAGGAAACUGACAACAACUCUGGGAACCCGAAACCUCAACCGGAAGAGAUGGCUAACGGCAGGUCUUUGGGAAGAGAGGGUAGUGUUUCACCAAGACAUCUGACAAGAAGUCCAAGAAGUACUGACAGGGCACGACCACAUGGUGAGGAAGACGAAGAGGAGGAAAAGAAAACUGUAGGUAGCCAAGCCAGAAAUCUCCGUGUAGCUCCCCCUCUGCAGGGCAAACCCUCCCGACCUGCGACCCACCAUAACGGAGACCUCGAGUCUGUUUUUGAUGAUAGUACUUUAAGUGAGCUAUCGGAAGAGGACAG
rnacentral:lncRNA from 1 species